GAACCCUGGGAGCCGCCACGCACGCACCCUCUGUGCCCCGCCCCUGGAGGAGGUGCAGGUGGAAGGACUUGUUGAAGAGCGAGUGAAGCUUGGUGUAACGCCAUGGAAGGAACCUCAGCCUAGUGACACUGACGGAGCAGAGUAGUUUGGUGGCAUGCCGUGGAGAGAGCCCCUGUAAUACCUACGUUAAGUGCCGUGCCUCUGUUCUAGUUUGUAUUACUUCAGAGAAACAAAGAUCUAGGAUUCUGUUCUGGCUAGUUGUCCAUACUCAACGAAGGUAAACGUAAAGGACUGUGUUGUGGUGAGAUGACUUUAACGCUGACAGUGGAAGCAGGAGACAUUCAGGAAGUGUUUCCGAUUAGUAGUCAAUUUGUGAGGGGUUUUUUUUUAUCACCUCAGUAUAAAAGACUUAGCAUAAGGGAUUAUUUAUUGGAGAUCACUAUUGGUUAAUCUAUUCAUUACCGUCACUGUUAUAACUAUC
rnacentral:lncRNA from 1 species